AUGUGCAGCUAUUAAUUGUUCAAAUCAUUCACGGAAAGGUCAUACAUUGGUAAAAUUUCCUAAAAAUGAAGAAAGAAGAAAAAUAUGGGUAAAUAAUUGCCGAAGAGACAAUUGGAAACCUGGUCCAAGCGCUGAAAUUUGCUUACUAAGUAUAAUGUUAAUUACGCCUUGAUUUAGAGUUUAUAUCUUCUCUGAUGUUUAUAAUGUGAUCAUUUUGAGGAAUCUCAAUUUGAGUCACUAUGCAAAGAUAGUUAAAAAACUAAGAAAAACUGCAGUACCAACACUCUUUAGCAUUCCAAAUCCACCACCAUCUGUAACUGACAAGAGGAUAAGAGAAGUAAGAUGUCCUAAGCCAAAUACUGAAGUGGAAACUCUACCUGCUUCAAAUGAAGAGUUGUUAAAAAAAA